rnacentral:rRNA from 1 species
AAUUUCCAAUAGCGGAGGAAAAGAAACCAACAGGGAUUACCUCAGUAACGGCGAGUGAAGCGGUAACAGCUCAAAUUUGAAAUCUGGCUCUUUUAGGGUCCGAGUUGUAAUUUGUAGAAGAUGCUUCGGGUGUGGCUCCGGUCUAAGUUCCUUGGAACAGGACGUCAUAGAGGGUGAGAAUCCCGUAUGUGACUGGUUGCCUUCGCCCAUGUGAAGCUCUUUCGACGAGUCGAGUUGUUUGGGAAUGCAGCUCUAAAUGGGUGGUAAAUUUCAUCUAAAGCUAAAUAUUGGCCAGAGACCGAUAGCGCACAAGUAGAGUGAUCGAAAGAUGAAAAGCACUUUGGAAAGAGAGUUAAACAGUACGUGAAAUUGUUGAAAGGGAAGCGCUUGCAACCAGACUUGCACGCCGUCGAUCAUCCUCCGUUCUCGGGGGUGCACUCGGCGGUGUUCAGGCCAGCAUCGGUUUCGGUGGUGGGAUAAAGGCCUUGGGAACGUAACUCCUCUCGGGGAGUGUUAUAGCCCUCGGUGCAAUGCCGCCUACCGGGACCGAGGACCGCGCUCGGCUAGGUGGAUUGC